rnacentral:rRNA from 1 species
UACGUAGGCAGCAAGCGUUGUUCGGAGUUACUGGGCGUAAAGGGUGCGUAGGCGGCCCUGUAAGUAUGGUGUGAAAUCUCCCGGCUUAACUGGGAGGGUGCGCUAUAGACUGCGGGGCUCGAGUGUGGGAGAGGAAAGUGGAAUUCCUGGUGUAGCGGUGAAAUGCGUAGAUAUCAGGAGGAACACCGGUGGUGUAAACGGCUUUCUGGACCAUAACUGACGCUGAGGCACGAAAGCUAGGGUAGCGAACGGG